rnacentral:misc_RNA from 1 species
AAGUCGUAACAAGGUUUCCGUAGGUGAACCUGCGGAAGGAUCAUUAGUGAAAAUACCCUUUGCAUAUGGGUUGCUUCAACCUGUAUCCACCUUUGUGAAUUGUUUUUUUUUGUUACGUAGCCUUAAAGAGCAAUCUUUAGGGCUAUUAACAAGCUUGAAAUUUUUGUUUGGCUGAAACUUUUGGUUUACAAAACAAAUCAAAUACAACUUUCAACAACGGAUCUCUUGGCUCCU